GGACUACUCGGGUUUCUAAUCCCAUUCGCGACCCACGCUUUCGUGUUGGAGCGUCAGGAGCGGGCCAGUUUCUUGCCUUCGCUUUCGGUGUUCCCCAUGAUAUCAACGCAUUUCACCGCUACACCAUGAGUUCCAGAAACCUCUCCCGUCCUCUAGUCCUGCCGUUUCCCGCGCGGCUCCUCGGUUGAGCCGAGGAAUUUAACGCGAGACUAACAGAACCGCCUACACACCCUUUACGCCCAAUGAUUCCGGAUAACGCUUGAAGCACUCGUAUUACCGCGGCGGCUGGCAC
rnacentral:rRNA from 1 species